UACGUAGGGUGCAGGCGUUAAUCGGAAUUACUGGGCGUAAAGCGUGCGCAGGCGGUUUGCUAAGACAGGUGUGAAAGCCCCGGGCUUAACCUGGGAACUGCGAUGGAAACUAGCGAGCUGGAGUGUGGCAGAGGGGGGUGGAAUUCCGCGUGUAGCAGUGAAAUGCGUAGAGAUGCGGAGGAACACCGAUGGCGAAGGCAGCCCCCUGGGCUAGCACUGACGCUCAGGCACGAAAGCGUGGGGAGCAAACAGG
rnacentral:rRNA from 1 species